rnacentral:tRNA from 1 species
CAAAAUAUAGCUUAAAUAAAGCAUUUUGCUUACACCAAAAAAAUAUUUGGAAAACCAAAUUAUUUUGA